rnacentral:rRNA from 1 species
CAGCCGUAAACAAUGUGCGUUAGGUGUGUCGGUAACCACGCGUUACUGAUGCGCCGAAGAGAAAUCGUGAAACGCACCACCUGGGAAGUACGGUCGCAAGGCUGAAACUUAAAGGAAUUGGCGGGGGAGCACCACAACAGGUGGAGCCUGCGGUCUAAUUGGAUUCAACGCCGGACAUCUCACCGGAUAAGACAGCUGAAUGAUUGUCAAUCUGAAGGUUUUACAUGACUAGCUGAGAGGAGGUGCAUGGCGUCAGUGACU